rnacentral:rRNA from 14 species
ACCCCCGUGAGUAAUGCCCUAAACACAUCCGACACUUUGGAGUACAGGAGCUGAUAUCAGGCACAACCUCUCGUUAGCCCACGACAUCUCGCCCAGCCACACCCCCAAGGGAACUCAGCAGUAAUAAACAUUAAGCUAUAAGUGCAAACUUGACUUAGUUACGGUCGAUGAGGGCCGGUCAACCAUCGUGCCAGCCACCGCGGUUACACGAAAGGCCCAAGUUGAUAGACACCGGCGUAAAGGGUGGUUAAUAGAAGAACUUAUACUAAAGCCGAACACCUUUUUAAAGCUGUCGCACGCACCCGAAGAUAGGAAGAUCGCCCACGAAAGUGGCUUUAACAACUAUGACCCCACGAAAGCUAGGGCACAAACUGGGAUUAGAUACCCCACUAUGCCUAGCCCUAAACAGACAAUCACUUUACAACCAUUUUUCGCCAGGGAACAACGAGCCUCAGCUUAAAACCCAAAGGACUUGGCGGUGCUUUAGACCCCCCUAGAGGAGCCUGUCCUAGAACCGAUAAUCCCCGUUUAACCUCACCCCCUCUUGUUCUUUCCC